AUGAACUUUGGGCUCAGCUUNAUUUUCCUUGUCCUUAUUUUAAAAGGUGCUCAGUGUGAGGUGAAGCUGGUGGAGUCUGGUGGAGGCUUGGUGCAGCCUGGAGGGUCCCUGAAACUCUCCUGUGCAGCCUCUGGAUUCACUUUCAAUAGCUAUUCCAUGGAUUGGGUUCGCCAGACUCCGGAGAAGAGGCUGGAGUGGGUCGCAUACAUUAGUAGUGGGGGUAGUACCAUCCACUAUGCAGACUCAGUGAAGGGCCGAUUCACCAUCUCCAGAGACAAUGCCAAGAACACCCUGUUCCUGCAAAUGAGCAGUCUGAAGUCUGAGGACACGGCCAUGUAUUUCUGUGCAAGAGACACACUCUGGCACUUUGCACUUAAUAUAACAAUGUUUCACAAAGGCAUUUUGGGAAUAUAUGGAUGGUGUCACUACAAAAGAAAAUGGGAAUCUAUGGCUGUAACAUG